GACGAACGCUGGCGGCGUGCUUAACACAUGCAAGUCGAACGGAGUGGCGAACGGGUGAGUAACACGUGGGUGACCUGCCCUGCACUUCGGGAUAAGCCUGGGAAACUGGGUCUAAUACCGGAUAGUGUGGGAUGGGCCCGAGGCCUAUCGGCUUGUGGGUGGGGUAAUGGCCGACCAGGGCGGCGACGGGUAGCCGGCCUGAGAGGGUGGACGGCCACAUUAGGACUGAGAGACGGCCCAGAGUGGUACGGGAUGCAGCAGUGGGGAAUAUUACACAAUGGGCGGAAGCCUGAUGCAGCGACGCCGCGUGGGGGAUGACGGCCUUCGGGUUGUAAACUCCUUUCACCAUCGACGCGGUAGAUGGAGAAGAAGCACCGGCUAACUACGUGCCAGCAGCCGCGGUAAUUC
rnacentral:rRNA from 1 species